AGCAAUGAACACCCUAUUCAGUGGUCUUCACUGGUUCUCCAAUAUUUUCAACACCACUCUCGGGAUAGAAUUCUCCAUAUAAGUUCAACAAAGUGAGGCAAGUGAAGCGCUUGUCUGGAGUCACAGAGGUUAAGAGGAAGUGAAGGCGGAGUCUGAGCUUUGCCUAUGAUGAUGUCCAUAAGCACAAACAGAAUGCAGCAGGAGGGGUCCACCAGCCCCACCCACUGACAUCCUUCAGGUCAAAGUCCCAGUUGAUCGAAGCAACUGACACUUAAUCACUGCACAGGUACAUUCAGGGCUUUUCUAUGUCCAACUGCAGACCUGGACAGAGCUUUCUUCUGCUUAGCUUACUUGAAUUUGUGUUAAAGAAGCAGCAAGUCUCAGGUCGAUGCCAGGGGACCUUUAAAAGAAAGCAGUUGUAGAAUUAUUUCAAGGUGGUUCUUCAUAUUGCUGAAAUGCGUUCUCUCCCAGAAUGCAACUUUUAAAACUCACCAAAGAUUUAAGACGGUGGCUCCCUGAAUUUUGGCAAAGAUAGUAGAUAUUUUUCUAGCUUAUUAUUAUGAAACAGAGUCAUAGUGAAUGUCUACUUAGCAGGCACUGAAUGUAGCACUUGACAUGUACUGUGGCCAUGGCGUGUAAGGUUAGCACUUAUGUGCUUUUCACAGAUUUGGAACUUGAAGCUCCAAGUAUGUUAAAGAUCACACAGCUACUAGGCGGUGACUUGAGGACUGAAUCCCUGGUUUAUGCGAUUACAAAACUCUUAUUCUUCCUGGGGUCCCACUCUGAAUCCCACCACAGAGCUUCUAAAUACAAAUAAGGACAGAUAGCAACCUAUAGGAUGAGUCUCAGUUGUCAGUGUAUCCACUGAGAGCUUUUGGGUGGAAAAUGCUAAUGAAUGACAAGCAUUUCACCCCACUGCAACUUCUCUUCCAGCUUAUAUAAUUUUGAUGUCCAAGGGAAGACAAAUCGAGUGAUAGCAGAUUCUCUGUGUUUUCCAAACAAACAAGGUGUAGGAGGGUGGGGAAAUGGUGUGACCUUGUUCUUGAGAUCAGAGAUGCUCAAAGGCCUGGGAAAAGGCCCUCCAGGGAGGACACACUCACUGUUUCUCACCAGUUCAGCUCAGGGUCUGUUGUCUAAUCAUUUUCUUAUCACUAAAUAUUGCAUAUUUACACAGGUGCUUCUCUGCUUUAAUUGCCUGGAAGCAGUCACUGGGAGCAAGGCUGUGGGCCUGAGCUUGGGCGAUGUGGUCCAGCUGCAGUCUGACAGGACGGCUCCUGCAAGGAAAGGUGGUGAGAAGGGCAGUUCUGCCAUCAACACAGAAGUGACUCCAGAGUGCACCAUCUACAUUCACAAGCACAUCCGUGGAGUGGGCCUCUGGAAAUGUGCCCCAGGCACUCAAAGCGAUCCAGAAGACUGCUGUGAAGGAGAGGGGUCUCCAGAUGUACACACUGAUAGCAAGUUCAACAAAGCUGUCUGGCCAAAGGAGCAAGGAACAUCCUGGACCACAUCCACCAAACAAGCUCUACAUAUCUGGCAUCACUUAAAAAUCUGUAGACACAUAAUGUGGAUAAGUACUGGGCAAAAAAUGAAAUAAAAGAGAUACUGUAACCCAAAGUAAAAGAAUUAAACCACCUUAAAGCAAUGGAGUAGUUAUAAAGGACAAGGAUGGAGACGCGCCACAUAAAGCUGGAGAAAAGGACUCCAGUGCGAUGAAAGGGAAACGCAGAAGCAGUGGAGGGAGGACAGCACUCGACCCAGUAAAGCACUGGAGGAGGCUGGACACAGAAGACACUCGGACUCCCGGGUAGUGAGUCAAACCCUGCAAUAACCCAGUUCUAAUUACACACAAGUCUCAUCUGCGCUAUUUGUUUAAUUUUAGUCUCUUCUGCAAAUACAGAAAAAGCUGUUUUUCUUUUGACACAAUUAUCUUUGCCCAUCCAGAAGCUUUCGGAAUGUCCCUUUGAAAGGUCUGUAAACCUUACCACAGGUCCAGAAGUACGAAGUGAGCCAUCUUUUGAAUUUUAGACAAGAAAACUUCCCACUCAAGGCUUUGAAUCUAUAGGCCAGAAGCCCUGAGCUGCCGCAAGAAAGCACUUUGGUUCCCAAUGUCAGGUUGGAUAGUGAUACUUCUUUGACCUUGGAAGGGGACAACCCACCACUAGGCUGAAUAUAAUUUAAUCCAGGCGUCAACUCUUGGGUUGGCAAGCAACAGAGCAGAGUGUCUGUAGUGAACUUAGUUUGAACUAAGGGAUUCAGAAUCUGUAGGCAAGUGUUGAUAGAUGCCCCAAAGUCAGGUAGAUUUAUGACAAGUGGUCUGAAUAGAACAUAUCAGGCAAAAGACAGGGAGAGAAAAUAAGGAAGUCAGCUGAGAGAGAGAAAACCAAAACUGAAGGUAGAAAACCAUGAAGGAGGCAAAAAAAAAAAAAAAUCAAUAAAUUACUGGAUGUGUGGCCCUAGAGAGAAGGA
ensembl:lncRNA